rnacentral:rRNA from 1 species
AACGAACGCUGGCGGCAUGCCUAACACAUGCAAGUCGAACGAGACCUUCGGGUCUUGUGGCGCACGGGUGCGUAACGCGUGGGAACCUGCCCUUAGGUUCGGAAUAACUCCCCGAAAGGGGUGCUAAUACCGGAUAAUGUCUUCGGACCAAUGAUUUAUCGCCUUUGGAUGGGCCCGCGUUGGAUUAGCUAGUUGGUAGGGUAAUAGCCUACCAAGGCGACGAUCCAUAGCUGGGCUGAGAGGAUGAUCAGCCACACUGGGACUGAGACACGGCCCAGACUCCUACGGGAGGCAGCAGUGGGGAAUAUAGGACAAUGGGCGAAAGCCUGAUCCAGCAAUGCCGCGUGAGUGAUGAAGGCCUUAGGGUUGUAAAGCUCUUUUACCCGGGAUGAUAAUGACAGUACCGGGAGAAUAAGCUCCGGCUAACUACGUG